GCUUGUCUCAAAGAUUAAGCCAUGCACGUCUAAGUAUAAGCGAUUAUACUGUGAAACUGCGAAUGGCUCAUUAUAUCAGUUAUAGUUUAUUUGAUGGUUCUUGCUACUUGGAUAACCGUAGUAAUUCUAGAGCUAAUACAUGCGUCAAACCUCGACUUCUGGGAGAGGUGUAUUUAUUAGAUGGAAACCAAUGCGGGGCAACCCGGUAUAUGGUGAUUCAUAAUAACUUUGCGAAUCGUAUGCCUCACGGCGACGAUGAAUCAUUCAAAUUUCUGCCCUAUCAGCUUUGGAUGGUAGGGUAUUGGCCUACCAUGGCUUUAACGGGUAACGGAGAAUUAGGGUUCGAUUCCGGAGAGGGAGCCUGAGAAAUGGCUACCACAUCCAAGGAAGGCAGCAGG
rnacentral:rRNA from 1 species